CAAGUCGAACGAGAAAGCAGGAGCAAUCUUGUGAGUAAAGUGGCGUACGGGUGAGUAACACGUGGAUCAUCUACCCUCUUGUGGGGGAUAACCCUGGGAAACCGGAGCUAAUACCGCAUAAGUCCGAGAGGAGAAAGCAGCAAUGCGCAGGAGGAGGAGUCCGCGGCCGAUUAGCUAGUUGGUAGGGUAAAAGCCUACCAAGGCUACGAUCGGUAGCCGGCCUGAGAGGGCACACGGCCACACUGGCACUGAAACACGGGCCAGACUCCUACGGGAGGCAGCAGUGGGGAAUCUUGCACAAUGGGGGCAACCCUGAUGCAGCGACGCCGCGUGAGCGAUGAAGCCCUUCGGGGUGUAAAGCUCUUUCGGCAGGGAAGAUUAUGACGGUACCUGCAGAAGCAGCUGCGGCUAACUACGUGCCAGCAGCCGCGGUAAUACGUAGGCAGCGAGCGUUGUUCGGAGUUACUGGGCGUAAAGGGUGUGUAGGCGGUCUUCUAAGUCUGGUGUGAAAUCUCCCGGCUCAACUGGGAGGGUGCGCCGGAAACUGGAAGGCUAGAGUGCGGGAUGGGAGAGUGGAAUUCCUGGUGUAGCGGUGAAAUGCGUAGAUAUCAGGAGGAACACCUGUGGUGUAGACGGCUCUCUGGACCGCAACUGACGCUGAGACACGAAAGCGUGGGUAGCAAACAGGAUUAGAUACCCUGGUAGUCCACGCCCUAAACGAUGCAUAUUUGGUGUGGGCCAUUCAUUUGGUCCGUGCCGGAGCUAACGCGUUAAAUAUGCCGCCUGGGGAGUACGGUCGCAAGGCU
rnacentral:rRNA from 1 species